GUCUAAAUGAGCUGUCUAAAUGGCUUGUAUAUUUAAGCUCUGCUUUAAUGGUUUCGUGUUUGUUUUCACCCUCUAUUUCUCCUUGUUUUUAAGUUCAUUUAGCGGUCAUUUGUCAAGUCUCGUUUUCUGCUUUCAUUGUCUAAUUUUAUCAUAUUUUUCUUUCUCUGUUCAUUCGUUUGGAGCAUUACCAUCUGGUUUCUGAAGCAUCAGUUUAGCUUUGUUUGGUUCAUCAUGGCUCAUGAUACUCUCUCAGUCUUUCUCCGAGUGUUGAAGCGUAUUGUUUCCUUCUCCAUUUCUUUACUUGAAGUUGUAGAAAUGUUGAGGUCCAUAGCUUAUUCAUGUCAUUCUUGUCUUACCUUAAUAAUAUUAUUUUGCUGAUUUGUGCAUGUGCAAAACCUUUAACUUCAUUUUAGGAUCCCAUGGGUUGUUUAUUACUUUGCUUAAUCGUGUGAGAUUAUGAUAUGCAUCUUUCUUUAUUAUUUGGGGUUAUUUGUUGGUUAAGAAGAAAAAGUUUAUUACUUUGGAUUCCAUAUUAAACUGUAUGUGGGCUUCCCUUGUCAAUACGUGCAGUAGCCUCAUUAUGCUUAGUUCUCUUUUCAUUUACUUUGAUUGAGAAUCAUGUUUAUAUCCUUAUUACUUUAGUCAAUUAUUAAUUACUUUAUUCUUUGUUUCUGCAUGAACUUGGAUCCGUAGAUACUUAAGUUAAGUUGCUUGUUGGUUUAGAAUCAUAUGUCCGUUUUAUGUUGAUUUUCAUGUCUCGUAUCAAAGUGUUAAUUCAAAUAUGUGAAAAUGCACAUGCUUUGUUCGAAUAAAUAAAUAAAUUAUUUAAUACAUGAUAAGGAUUUUAUUUUAUUUUUACACGAAAGGCGAUAAUCGAUGUCUUAACUUGAGUUUGGAAGUGUUUUGUUCAUCUAAUGUUAUUUAUCUCACUGGAUUAUGUCACUGUUUUUCUCCUCAUAUUAUUAGAAAUUUUAUUUAUUUUUUAUCUAAUUAAACUAACAUGCUUAAUAUUAAUAGUCUAGGGAUAUUGAAUUUGGUCCAUUUGACUUUGCUCUUUUACUGCUCACUGUAUCAUAUACAUAAAAACAUUUAGUCUUCAUGGAUUUUUUUUCUUUACUUUAUUGUUCGAAUGUUGUACUGUUAGUAAUUAAUCAGUGAGUGUUUUUAUCUAUUUAUUUAUUUUGUUUAUUUUCGUUUAUGUACUCUUAUUUUCAUUUACUUUUUAUCUCGCCCCUUCAUUUUCCUUCCCAAGGCUAAUUCUAUAUUUUGUUUUUCAUUUUGCAUGUAAAAUCCGUUCAAGUCCUCACGGACUGUAUCUUUGCAUUUACAAGGGGGCCAUGGAGGCCCCAAAAUUCUUGUACCGAGUCAGAUCCCCCAAAAAUUUGGUGAACAGGGUUCAGAGCAGAUAUACAAGAUCGUAUACACUAGUAUACAUCUAGUGUACACGAAAGAGAGAAAAUGGGCUUAAAGAGGCCACUAGUCUUUAAAAUUUGUAUUUUGUCAUUUAUUGGGCCUAAGCCUAUUUAAGUAUUAUUAUUAUUUAUGUUAAAAGUUUAGGACAGGUUAGGACAGGUGAAAGAAUUGGGCCUAAGGCCCAAAGAGAAAACAUUCUAUUUUGUGUUAGAUUAGGACAGGUACCAAAUGGGCCCAAAUACUGGCCCAAAAGGACA
rnacentral:lncRNA from 1 species